rnacentral:lncRNA from 1 species
UGUGAACAUUUUUAAACUAAUUUCUUCAGUAUGCAAAUUAAACCGACCACAUGCAAGGUCGGGUUCUAUGCUCUACAUAUAGUUAUAAAUCGAAAGAAUUGAUCUUAAGAUUACUAAGCAAAACCAAAUAUAAGAGUAAGAAGAAGACCCAAAUGAGUAAUUGGAAUGUAUCAAGUCCUGAAGAAUCAUCUUAGGUGUCUUACAGUUAGUGGGCGGACACAAGACCACCAGUACAACACUACCCAUUUUCCGAUCAAUUGUUUCGUCCAAGCACCAUCAACUGCUCAUUAUGGAGAGUUGAAGAGCAUUGAGCAACCAUUGAAACAAAGCGGCUACAAGCUAACUCUUUCGGCUGAUCUCCAGCAACAGAGGCGGCAAGGUGGCGUCAGAGAGGGUCAGGUCAAGCCUGACGAACGUGUCCUUCAGGAAUUUGCGUCAUUGCCACACUUAAAAGCUGGAAUUUGUAUUUCAGGGAGACUGUGUUGAGGGACAAUGGACCUUAGCUUCUGGCAUAUAAGAAGAUCCUAUAAGACAAACUGUACUUCAUGAAUUGGAGUAAGACAACUAUUGUCAUUAUUCUUCUGAACAACUAAUAAAAUGAAAUCAUCGACAUACAACUCACAUUUAGCAUGCCUACUUCAUGAAGCACGACCUUCUACCAGAAUAAAUAAUAGUAUAAUUCUCAGAAAACAUAUUUGUGUUUUGACUGACUUAAGGAAACAGAAGUUUUAGAAUGUUUUCUUCCCUGACGGAAACUUGUUUUGCUUCCCUCACACUAUUACUUCCAAUACAACAUAUUAGAUACAGAUUUUUUUAUAUAUAUUAAUUUUCUUUUUAUGGAAGAAACAUGCUUGUGUAGAAUGGUAGUGUUAUCAUGUUUAGAGUUAACUACUAAACAUUAAAUGUUUGGCACAUAGCAUUUUUGCAGCUUGAUAGACAAUCAGAGAGGUAUUGCAAAGCAGGAGCAUGUACCAGAUAAUUUGCAGAAUCACAACAUCUGGAGGUGUCUUCAAAGUUACAGGAUUGUUCUAUGUCACUUAAAAAAGUUAAAUCGCUAUUAGAUUAAGGGAUUGCAUUCCUUCUACAAAGUUACUACUCGUACAAUUUUAGAAACACACCCAAUGCAGAUUUGUAUGAACAACCUAAACUGCAGUUUCAGACUUUUAAUACCACUUGACACCAAUAUUAUUAGAAGUAUAGAUGGAAGUGCAUACUUCGUGUUUAUCACAUCGACUUGUGAUAACAGAAAGGAUAACUAAGCACAAUGUGCACAUGAACCACACUGCUAAUUCAAGUCCAAUAAACCACGUGAUUUUCCAGGAAAAAGAAUGUUAUGUGAUCCAAAUGAAAUUGUUAUUUAGAUAUACAUAGUGUCGAUCUAAACUACUGUGGCCUUAAGAGAAGCAGUAGACAUCGAGCUAGAAACAUACUAUAGGUAGAUAAAAUAAGGGCCAGGAUCCAAUAUUCAGUGAGAACGCUUAAAACACGAAGUCGCCAAAUCAAAAUAUGUCCAUUUGCGCGCUUGUACAGAGAUUGAACAUGCUGAAACGCAGUGGAAGUAAAUAUCACAUGGGUAGCUUAUUAUAUUGUCCUAAAGUGAUGUUCUCAUACUGAAAUCAUAUAGAAAGUACAUAGCAGAUUAUAUCGUCCUAAGUGAUCUUGCUAGAGAGGAUUAUCUAGAGAAAUGGCAAAGGAGAAAUUAACUAACCUUGACCUGUUUGCGGCAUUUGGCCCCCAAGGCAACCUGGGACAUUUACAGAUCCAUAUUUUACACACCUCAUAGAGUCACCAGCAUCUUGCCACGGUAGGCCAAUACCUAGCCACUCAUAGUACAAUCAUUGUCCAUUGUUCUGGCUUGCUGCAUUCCUGGAUUGCAGUACACCUGAAAUUGUAGGAGUUCAUAACCUGGACACCACAGAGAAAGCAUCAUUGGUUGAGAAAAUUCGUUGCUUUUCACCGGCUGUUGUAAGGGAAAGUACCAAUCACCCCUUUGAUCCUCCCUCUAAUAUCAACAAGCUGACAAAGUGGCAAUGGAGCCCAAGGCUUAGCACAUUAUUUCAAUCGAUUUGUCUGCAACUUGUGUAUGUCCUGCAGAUUAUAAUUGAAGCGGUGCCAGACCCUAUGGAAGGCAAGCCGAAGGAAGAGCACAAGUUUGCUAGGGAGGAGUGGCUGGGAUUGCCCAGACACAAUAGAUCAGGAGCAGCAGCUUCAAUCAUCGGGGCGGGAUCGCCGCUGCCACGGCGUAGAGACGCUGCUGGUGAGAAGCGACAAGAGGGGAUACAUGAGAGGUUUCCAUGACCGGCAGCGCGGAGCUGUGGCAGCUGAUUUUGCAGCAGAGUUAAGAAAUGUCUGAAUGACCACCUACAAGAACAUGAGUUGCAUCCCCUAGUUGAUUUAUUCCAUGACCCCAAUCCAGUUUCUUCACUCCAUCCCUACAUACAACAAACAUAUUGUAAUGCAUAUGUUGACAACUGAGAGCUAAGAUUGAAGAACAACCGAAGCAAAGAAACAAUUGAGGUUCUUCCAGCAAAGAAAUGAAGCACGACAACAAAGUUGAUGCCAAAAUUCAAAGUGUGAGCAAUGGCCUUUCCGAGUAAAAUAGCACAUGUGCCAUGAGGGAGAGGGUGGGCAUUAGAGGAACCAUACUGGAUCCGGUCAUGGCGACGGGCCUCUGGGUGAAGUGGCAGGAGUACUCGAGGCCGGAGAUGCUGGUGAUGUGCGGCCAAGGCUUUGGCGACGCAACAGAUGUCAUUAAGGCAGGAGAGGUGAGAGGAGGAAUACCAGGGAUGCAGUAGCAGUGGCGCCCGUCUACCAUUUCCGGACACCGGUGAGCUCCGACCAAGGUCACCGCACCGCCCCUCCUUUCUCCCUUGUUAUAUCCCUCACCACCGUGUCUCCUUUUUGUCCUAGAGCCGCGGAUGCUAUGGAUCCUCUCGGGAAGCCGCUCUCCGGCCAUCCUCCUCGUCACAGGCGAACCCCGCCUCGCCGAAAGCCUCCAGAUCCGCCUCCCUGUCCCUGUCGCACACGAAUCCAUCCCCUGCAAGCUCCGGCCGCCGCGUUCAUUCUGCGUCGAGCAGCCAUGCCGCCUCCAACCGCUCGAGGAGCGCGUAGCCCGCCGGCACGAGACUUGUGAUGCGGCACUCCCCUCCCCCGUCGGGCACCAUGUCCACGCGCGCCAGACCGGUGCGCGGCGGCAGGGCAGGGGGUGGCGGCGCACUGGAGGUGGAGACGGGAUUGGAAGGUUGCGUUCCUUUUUUCUAUCGCUCGCACUGGUUCGGUUGACUUAUUACAUGGACGGCGGGUUAAUUCCUAAAAAGCAUAUGGACAUUUGUAUAAAAACGCCGCGACGCUGAACCCGAAGACUCAAUCCGUGCUUUAUUAUUAGGGAGAGAUUGUUAUAUUACAAGUUUAUUAUUUUUCCUGUUAACUUGGUCACAUGUAACGAUGCAAUGCGAAGGUUUUUCAAUUUUUUGAUUUUUUUCAAUUUUUUAUGCCCGUUUCAAAAUGCGGUCAAAACGGCGGGUUUGACUGUUCCUAGCUAGUGGUUGAAUCUUUGAAAACUUUUGAUGUUUCUAUGAUUAAAUAGAUACUUAUGUAUCUAGAAAUGAUUUUUGGGAAAAAUAAAUAGCAAACUAUGAGAUAGCUGUAGUUCAAAUUUGACCUGCUUCCGACUGAAUCAGCGAAAAUUUGUCUUUUUCAUGAGAGGUGAAUCAAAGCUUUUGACACACAACUAUUUGGUCAAUUGUGCAUUAAAUAUGACCUAGUAUUUUAUAAAAUUGAUUUGGUCCAAAUUUGCAACAAUUAUUUGGUAGGUCCUUCACAAAAAAACUUAUUUUGGGCACUCGAAAAAUGGAAAAUGCUUUUUUUCGUCCAAAGAAAAUGAAAACUUCCUUAGGAAACAUUGUUUGCCAUUCCAAUAUGCACCCUUGAGCACAAUAUGAAAUCAUUUGAACAAAUUUUCAUUCAAAUUUUCCCCGCUUCCUACUGAAUGGGUGGAAUUUGUUUUUUAUAAGAGGUGGAUCAAAAGCUUUUGACAUGUUACUAUUUGGUCAAUUUUACAUAAAAUGUGGUCUAAUAUUUUUUUUAAAUGGAGUUGUGCUAUUUUGGAACAAAUAUUUGGUAGCUUCUUCAUAAAAAAAACCUUUUUAUCCACUCAAAAAAUGGAAAAUCAUCUUUUUGUGCAAAGAAAAUGAAAGACGUCGAACUAUGGCAUUGUUUGCCAUUCUAAGUUGCACACUUACGAAAAAAUAAGAUCAUUUUGACAAACUAUGUCAUUGUUAUGUUUAAAAAAAUUCAAAGUUUUGGGUCUAAAAUUUUGAGAUUCAAGUGUGAGAUAGCCAGCCAAUGAGACGCGAGGAACCGCUUUCACGCAGAUCACCAAAUUGAACGCAAUCUGAGCCAUCCAUCACGCAUCCAUCCAACGGUGGAGCUUCUCCCGAGAAUCAAAAANNNNNNNNNNNNNNNNNNNNNNNNNNNNNNNNNNNNNNNNNNNNNNNNNNNNNNNNNNNNNNNNNNNNNNNNNNNNNNNNNNNNNNNNNNNNNNNNNNNNNNNNNNNNNNNNNNNNNNNNNNNNNNNNNNNNNNNNNNNNNNNNNNNNNNNNNNNNNNNNNNNNNNNNNNNNNNNNNNNNNNNNNNNNNNNNNNNNNNNNNNNNNNNNNNNNNNNNNNNNNNNNNNNNNNNNNNNNNNNNNNNNNNNNNNNNNNNNNNNNNNNNNNNNNNNNNNNNNNNNNNNNNNNNNNNNNNNNNNNNNNNNNNNNNNNNNNNNNNNNNNNNNNNNNNNNNNNNNNNNNNNNNNNNNNNNNNNNNNNNNNNNNNNNNNNNNNNNNNNNNNNNNNNNNNNCCUAGCCGCAGCCCCGCCGGCGACCUACUCCCCCACUCCUCGACUGCCCUGGCGACAUCCUCUACUUCAUACCCGUGGGCGACCUCCGCCUUCCAUUCCACCCUCUCCUGCUCUCCACGCUGAAACCCUAGAUCGACGCCAUGGCCACCUCUCUCCAGCGUCCCCUCCAUCUCUCCCGUCGGCGACCACAACCAUGGCCUCCACCUCCCCUUCCCUCCCUGGCUGGAGAUCCACUCAAUUCCUCUCCUUCCCAUGAUUCCUCCCCAAUCCCGCUGCUGUCCGACUACCACCCCCACCGGCGACCUCCCUCCCCCCUCAUGAGAUGUACGGAUGUGGAGAGACGGAUCGCUGGAUCCCCGCCGCGCCGGACCGGCGAGAUCCAGCUCCUUGCCGAUCCCAUGGCCUCCGCGGCGGCGCGAGUCCUCCUCCUCAUUCGCCUUGUCGCCUCCUCCCUCACGGGGUGCAGGGACGCCCUUCGGUCGCUUGGCGUCGGCGACAAGGCGGGGGUCGAGGCCGCCGCGCAGGGGGACGACGCCGUGGAGCUCAACCCCACCAGCUCGGACGCCUUCCUCACGACCUCGCGGGAGCAGUUCGUCGUCGUCGAGUUCUUCGCCCACUGGUCAGUCGCUCCCGGCUUGAUUCGCGUCCUUUGUUUAUUCCAUAUGCGGAUUGCUUCGAUUCGAUUUGGUCUAGAAUCUCGACAUGGAUUCAGGAUUGCCCGAUGCCCGAGGUGUGGUGCGUGGUUUCAUGCUGUUGUUGAUCUGUCAGUCACAAAUGGAAAAUGAUUAGUUCGUCUCAGCAUGGUAUUAACCCCCUUGUGUGUAGUUCCCUCCAUAUAUCAGAGCGGCGCGGUUGUACUUUCUUUGUUUAUUUCUGAAAUCGCCACUAACUAGAACAUGAUGAUUUUGUUAGCCCACUGAAGAAUUUCCCAACACCUCAAUACUCUACCACACUAUGUUGUGUUUCAUUCUAGGAUCUGUGCUCUAGAAUGUUCAUUCUAGAAUAUGCUCAUUUAGGAAUAUUUGCUUUUUUGAAUAGAAACUCAUUUCCACAUAUGUUUUCUAUGUUUAUUAUGUUCUGAUUCUGGUCGAUCCCAGCCAUGAGCUUGAAUGGUCUAGUAGUAGAACAUCAAGUUAAUUUGUAGCAGUGAGGUCACUGAGCCUUGUAAUUGUAUCUUUGUGGUUACUAACAUGAUUGUUGUAGGCUACAAGAUAUAUCUCUGUCGGUUCAUCUUGUUGUAGAAUAUGCUGAAGGAAAUAUGCCCUAGAGGCAAUAAUAAAGUUAUUAUUUAUUUCCUUAUAAUCAUGAUAAAUGUUUAUUAUUCAUGCUGGAAUUGUAUUAACCGGAAACAUAAUACAUGUGUGAAUACAUAGACAAACAAAGUGUCACUAGUAUGCCUCUACUUGACUAGCUCGUUAAUCAAAGAUGGUUAUGUUUCCUGACCAUGAAGAAUGAGUUGUUAUUUGAUUAACGAGGUCACAUCAUUAGUUGAAUGAUCUGAUUGACAUGACCCAUUCCAUUAGCUUAGCACCCGAUCGUUCAGUAUGUUGCUAUUGCUUUCUUCAUGACUUAUACAUGUUCCUAUGACUAUGAGAUUAUGCAACUCCCGUUUGCCGGAGGAACACUUUGGGUGCUACCAAACGUCACAACGUAACUGGGUGAUUAUAAAGGAGCAUUACAGGUGUCUCCAAAGGUAGAUGUUGGGUUGGCGUAUUUCGAGAUUAGGAUUUGUCACUCUGAUUGUCGGAGAGGUAUCUCUGGGCCCUCUCGGUAAUACACAUCACAUAAGCCUUGCAAGCAUUACAACUAAUAUGUUAGUUGUGAGAUGAUGUAUUACGGAACGAGUAAAGAGACUUGCCGGUAAUGAGAUUGAACUAGGUAUUGGAUACCGACGAUCGAAUCUCGGGCAAGUAACAUACCGAUGACAAAGGGAACAACGUAUGUUGUUAUGCGGUCUGACCGAUAAAGAUCUUCGUAGAAUAUGUAGGAGCCAAUAUGGGCAUCCAGGUCCCGCUAUUGGUUAUUGACCGGAGACGUGUCUCGGUCAUGUCAACAUUGUUCUCGAACCCGUAGGGUCCGCACGCUUAAGGUUACGAUGACAGUUAUAUUAUGAGUUUAUGCAUUUUGAUGUACCGAAGGUUGUUCGGAGUCCCGGAUGUGAUCACGGACAUGACGAGGAGUCUCGAAAUGGUCGAGACGUAAAGAUUGAUAUAUUGGAAGCCUAUAUUUGGAUAUCGAAAGUGUUCCGGGUGAAAUCGGAUUUUACCGGGUUACCGGGAGGUUAUCGGAACCCCCCGGGAAUCAUAUGGGCCUUAAUGGGCCUUAGUGGAAAGGUGAAAGGGCUGCCCAUAAGGGCUGCGCGCCUCCCCCCCUCCCCUAGUCCUAUUAGGACUAGGAGAGGUGGCCGGCCACCCCUCUCCCUCUUUCCCCCUUGGGGAAUCCUAGUUGGAAUAGGAUUGGGGGGGGGAGUCCUACUCCCGGAAGGAGUAGGACUCCUCCUGCGCCCUUCUCCUAGCCGGCGCCCCCCUCCCCCCUUGGCUCCUUUAUAUACUGAGGCAGAGGCACCCCAAAAACACACAAGUUGAUCCACGUGAUCUAUUCCUUAGCCGUGUGCGGUGCCCCCUGCCACCAUAUUCCUCGAUAAUACUAUAGCGGAGUUUAGGCGAAGCCCUGCUGCUGUAGUUCAUCAAGAUCGUCACCACACCGUCGUGCUGACGGAACUCUUCCCCGACACUUUGCUGGAUCGGAGUCCGGGGAUCGUCAUCGAGCUGAACGUGUGCUUGAACUCGAAGGUGCCGUAGUUUCGGUGCUUGAUCGGUUGGAUCGUGAAGACGUACGACUACUUCCUCUACGUCGUGUCAGCGCUUCCACAGUCGGUCUGCGUUGGGUACGUAGACAACACUCUCCCCUCUCGUUGCUAUGCAUCACAUGAUCUUGCGUGUGCGUAGGAAUUUUUUUGAAAUUACUACGAAACCCAACAUAUGCCCCUAUCCAUUCAUUUAUGUGUAUUGCUAUUUGCCUCUGGUGACAUGCGAGAAGAACUCAUCUAUAUGUUUAUAUUUUGAGCGGCUGGGUACAACUACAGUUGCAAAAUCAUCCAGCCAAAUUUUGGGAGGAUGGCAUAAAAGAUUACAUAACCCAUGCUUUUGAAAUCAUGGUAAGCUUCACAAGCUUGUAAGGUGUUUCCUAUUUUCAAGUGACUUUACAUCAAGUUACUACUUCUCAACAGAAAUUCUAGACUGUGUAAUGUUACUGCAGAUAUGAUGUGGGUUCAAUGCUUAUAAUGUUACUGUAGAUAUUCAAAACAAGCUGAAGUCCUUUUGAUUCUUGAUUUCUAGCAUACACAUGCAACCUAAUUGGUGUUGUUACUGUAGAUAUGAUGUAGGUUCAAUGCUUACAAUUUUUUGAUGUGAUGCAUGUUACCUUUCGAAAUAUGAAGAUGCAUGUAAGAACUAUUGCUAGCGAUCUGGCAUGUCAUAACAGUCUUACCCCUUGUUCUAUCACUAGCAUACACUAUAGUUUUAGAUAAAAGGGGGCAUAUCAUUUGCUCUAUCAAUGGAUUGUUUAUUAAUUUAUUUGGACUUGCACACAUUAGGUAAGGAAGGAUCGCCAAUCUGGGUGUCCAAAUGAUAGUAAAACCUAGGCUCUUGCACGGUUCUUGGAUUUAUUUUUAGCAUAUAUUACCAAUAUCGAGUCUAAACAUGUGGCUUUUCUUCUCAUCUAUAGGAGAGUUAUGUGCUGAUUUUUUUGGAGAAGCUGGAAGUCCAAGUCAACGACUUGCUUUAUAUGUUUGUUGUAAUGCCGUAUUUUCUGGGAAUUUGGAUGUAAGUUGAUCUUGCUGAGAAUUUGGUGUAUAUUUGCUUGCUGAACUUAUUAUUCAAAUGCUAGGAUAUAUGUACAAACCCUUGGAAUAUUAUUCUAUGUUUACUUGAAAUGUAUUCUUGGAUUAGAAGUGGUCAAAAAGAGAAUAUAUUGGUAUUGAAUUUGGUUUGAUUCUAUGUUUGUGCUGUAAAUUGUAUUUGAAAUAAAGAGGUGUGGCCCAAAUUAAAAACUGGCCGAAAUGUCUAUUGGACCAAAUGAAAAACUGGUCGAAAUGGCUACAGCCCCAAAAGAAUUAGAUCGCAAAGAGGCCAAGGCCAAAAAUUGGAUCACAAAAAGGCCAAGGCCCAAAAAUUAAAUGCACUGUAAAAAUUGUGAGGCCCAAAUUUAAAAUGGACCACAAAAUGCCCAAAGCAGUUGACCAAAAUUGGGAGGAAAAAAAUUCAUAAAUGGGCUGAAUUAAUGGGCUUGGCCCAUAUAGACACCUAAUCGGACCGGGCUGAAUCUUAUCAACGACCUUUUCAAUUGAUCGCAAUUUUGCCACGUCAGAUUGCCACGUCGGAUCCGACGUGGCCUGGGCAGACAACCAGUGACCAAAACAAAAGGUCAUGGGUUCCACGACCUUUUGUUUUGGUUGUAAACGUCUAUGACCUUCUCUGUGAGAAGGUCGUUAAUUUAAGUUUACGACCGCUAGUUUUUGACCUUCUGUUUUUUGUCAAAAAAAGGUCGUAAAUGAAAAAAAAUGACCUUUCAGUGACCAAUAGUGAUGGUCGCAAGUUGGCAUAUUUCUUGUAGUGCCUCGUUUAUCCUUUUCUCCCACAAGAUAAACUACUCAUACAAAUGCAUCUUGAUGUUCCGUGCAACGCAUGGGCAUCUUGCUAGUUGUUGCAAAAAUCCCAUGUGUGUGUGUUGUGUGUGUGAGAGAGAGGGAGAGAGGAGGAGGACAGAGUGCAUGUGUGACAAAGACACAAAGAGUGUGUGUGCGACAGGUAUCAGCUUAAAAUGAGGCGAUAGUGUGUGUUUGCACAUCAAGAGGGCGUGUCUCAAGAAGGGACGAAAAAUCUACAUAGAUACAAGGAGCGUGAGAGAGACAUGUAUGCGAUAGUGGAAGCACGAGUGUGUCGAUGUAUAAACCUAUCUAGAGGCUAGUCGAUCAAUGAUGUGAGAGAAAUACGAUUCAGGGGUGCGAAAGUGAGAGUUUUGUGGGUGAGAGAGAGAGAGAGAUGAUAGUCGGGAAGGGGAGUGGAAGCAGGAGCUAUGUGUGUGUGAGAGAGAGCGGGGGGGGGGGGAAUUUGUCGGAUCGGUAAACAAAUGAAUAUGUCAGUUUUAUAAUUGGGAUGUAGAUGGAAAGGAGACCGCAAUAAAUUUUAUGUCUGUAGGAGAGAGUAAUUUUAGUGGUAUGAGUCAUAUCUAGAGACAUAUAGGGUGUGUGAGAGAACCCCAUAGAGAGAAAGACAAAGUGAAAGACGAGUGAGACUGUGUGUGUGGCUGUGAAAAAGAAAGCUUAGGUACCUAGUGAUACCAGAGAAUGGUAGAGACGUGAGAGAUAGUGAAAACCGUGUAAUGUAUAAUGAUAGGGAGAGUGUGAGACUUCUCAAGGGAGACGUCGAGAGACCAUGUUUGCGAAGAUUGGAUAAACAUGAAGUGAGCAUGCGGGUGAGCUGGAGAAAAGAGAAUGAUAGCUACAUGAAGGAUCAUGCGGGAGAGAUGGGCGUGAAAGGAGUCAACAUAAAAGGGAUUCAAAUAUUUGAAUUCGAGAUGAUGAUACAUGUAAUUCAUACUCGAACCAAAAUUGAUCUAUCAAACAUGCAUACUCAUAUGAAUUCACGCGCAUCUAUGUAUUUAAUAUGUAGAUAUUACUGAUCCAUACAUUUUAGUAGAACAUAAUUUGGUUUAAUUUUUUUUGAAUUCAACCUUAUGAUUUUGAGAUCAUUGUAUCUGUAAGUCAUAUUAUAUACAUAUAAAGGAGCAGAAUUCUUUGUUGUGCUUUUGAAAGUAUAUAUAUAUAAAAGUAUGUAUAUAAAAUUUUAUUCCAAUUGCAAAUGGAUCCUGCCCAAACAAAAAUAUAAUACAAACUGGAUUCGAAUUGAGUUGGCGCGGUAAACGUGCACUCUUGCUCUGCAAAAAUUUGAACAAAGCGGGGAAAUUCGCAGUAACCGCCCAAAAACAAAAUCUAUGAGAUGGAGGUUAUUGCCUAUCCCUGACACGCAAAGCCUAUCGGCUCGAUUUCUAUAGGUUUCGAUAGGGGUAGGUUUGAAAUUUCACUUAAUCGUGACAUAACCGCCUCUCACCCGGAUUCAUACACGGUGGGCGCCAAAACACAAUGUCUCUUCAGCCAAAAUUGACUCCCUCCCUGAUUCAUACACGGUGGGCGCCAAAAACAAACUCUCAUUGGCAAAUAUUCGGUGUAUGCGAGAUUACCGUCCUAUCCCCAACCGACUAAUAUUGUUGUGAUGUAGGAAAUUUUAAACGGGGGCUAAGUUUGUAAAUUUCCUGGCAUCUGAGACAAGCGCGCCAUAAAGACAUGGUUCCUGUAACAUCCCAAAUUUUCAAUUUGGAAUGUUAUACAUUUGAACAUCAUUGCAUAUCAUAUUUUAUUGCAUUUUUUGGCUUGAUCCUACAAAUUCUACGCAACUCAAGGACCUACAGAGAGAGUUGGGGAUUUCAUUAUUUUCAUAUUCGAGUUUUCUCGAAUUUUGGAAAGAGAAUGGUUUGAUUUUAAUUAUUUUCUAUUCGAUUAUUUAUUUUAUAAAAAUAAAAGAGAGAGGAUAAAAUGACUUCCUCAAAAUAAAGAAAUAUCGAAGCUUUAAUAUUAAAAUCAAAUAAGAUUUUUUUAUUCGGAGUUUUAUUGCUAUUUUAUUUGAAUUAGGAAAAAUAUGCGUUUUUCAAAAUUGCAUUUUAGGCCCAAAUAAAUGUUCACCUUGUCCGGCUUAUUUUUAGAGGACGGAAAAAAUUUAUUUCGGAAUUUUUGGAGUCCGUUUAGUAUUUCUUUUCUUUCAUUUUCUGCACGUCGAAAUUAUAAAAAAAUCAAACCGACUUCGGGCCGUACCCGGCCAAGAGACCUCGGGCCGGCCCUCUUAUAAGCCGCACCCGAGCCAGCCCAGCCGCCUGCCGCCCNNNNNNNNNNNNNNNNNNNNNNNNNNNNNNNNNNNNNNNNNNNNNNNNNNNNNNNNNNNNNNNNNNNNNNNNNNNNNNNNNNNNNNNNNNNNNNNNNNNNNNNNNNNNNNNNNNNNNNNNNNNNNNNNNNNNNNNNNNNNNNNNNNNNNNNNNNNNNNNNNNNNNNNNNNNNNNNNNNNNNNNNNNNNNNNNNNNNNNNNNNNNNNNNNNNNNNNNNNNNNNNNNNNNNNNNNNNNNNNNNNNNNNNNNNNNNNNNNNNNNNNNNNNNNNNNNNNNNNNNNNNNNNNNNNNNNNNNNNNNNNNNNNNNNNNNNNNNNNNNNNNNNNNNNNNNNNNNNNNNNNNNNNNNNNNNNNNNNNNNNNNNNNNNNNNNNNNNNNNNNNNNNNNNNNNNNNNNNNNNNNNNNNNNNNNNNNNNNNNNNNNNNNNNNNNNNCCGCCGCCCGCCGCUGCCGCCGCCGCACCGGAGCCGCCCGCCGCCGCCGGACCUCGCUGGACCCCGCCGGACCCGAGGUAGCCGCCUCGGUUUUUGUGAGAAAAUGGUUUGGUUUUUUUUCGAAACCCUAGAUCCGUUUUUUAUUAGAUCCAGUUUGGUUUAUUUUCGGUUUAGUUAUUUACCGAACGCCCAUUUUUACAUUCGUUUUAAUGAACGGUUUUCACCGUUUAGCCACAGACAGCGAACAUUCGUUCGUUAGCCUAUUCGUCAUUUUUUCUUUUUCUCGGAUUUUCCGCGAUUAAUUUUCGAUCGCGAUUUCUGAUCCGAUUUUCGUUUUAGUAUAACUUUGCUCGUUUAUCGGAAUCAGGCGAUUCAAGCGCCUAGAGUUUCGUCUCGAAACCCUCUUUCCGUUUAACCAACUUGAACAAGAUUUUGAUACAGUAAAAUUUGACCUUAGUCCAUAUUAGUAAUCAGAUCUUGUUUCUUUCGUAGUUUGAGUUUCGUUGCUUCGUUUGAUUUGAUUCUUUUUGCAAACUGGAGUUCUUAAGUUGAACUUUCUGGUGAGAUCUCUUAUUUGAGUUUUACUCGUGCCCUUGUUUGAUUGCUUAUUGUAUGCUUGUUUGUUUGUGAUAGAACACCCGGAGUGCGAAGCGUGCUACUACGAGUCUCUAGGUUUUGCGGAUCAUCAGCAAGGCAAGUAACACUUUGAUCAUAUCCCUUUAUCACCCAGUUUUUAUGCAUUAGUUUCAACCCUCAAACAUUGCAUGAUUAGGACCUGAUAACAUGUGGGAUUGGGAAGUAGUUGAUGAGGUAGAACCUAUUGCCUUGUUAUUAUCAAACCCUUGGGAGUUACUUCUACAUAUUGCUUAUAUUGCUAUGCUAUUCUCGUAGACGUGGAUUGGGUUUGAGUGAAACCAUGACAGAUGUGAGAUUGUUAAUUAAUGGUUCAACUUAAGGUGGAAACUUUAAUUCACAUCUGGGCGGAUUGCUUGUCGGGCACCUGGAGAAUCCAGUGUUGUCCUAGGAUAUCCCGGAGUACCCGUGUGAUAAUCCUAAGGUCCGCCACCCAGGCUCAAAGGGAACUGAGAUAUCUCAUGCUAGAAACUUCCGUGUGCAGCCACAAGCUAUUAUGGGCUCUAGCAUAGUUGAGUAAGUUGUGUGAAGCUCUUGAAGAGGUAGACUAGUAGGUAGUGGGUUGUAGGUGGUAUAGUCUAUCCGGAGUAGAGAGUUAAUGCUUCUGAAAGACUGUGUCUCGGUCAUCCGUUUCUCAAACACCAUGUAGUAUGAGAAAUCCAACGGAGAAGAUCGAGUCUUGUGGGGAGAAGUGCGCAAACCUCUGCAGAGUGUACAAACUAAUCAUGGUUAGCCGUGUCCCCGGUUAUGGACAUAUUGAGUAUCUAGUACUUGGAUUAUCAUAUGUAUCUCAUCACUCUAAAUUAAUAUUGAUGGGUUGAUAAUUACUUUUAAUUGGGAUUGAGUUGGAGGAACCUUCUCAAUGAUGUUUCAACUACCAUGAUAGUAAAUAAAAUAUAUUCCUUUGUUGUAGGAAAAAAUUGGCUUUUCGCAAAACUUUAACUGUAGAGCUUUCCACCAGCCAAAUAUGCAUAUAGUGAUAGCAUUAUUCUAUUCUUGCUCUACCGUGUUAUAUUGACAGCAUAUUCCAUGUGCUGACCCGUUUUCGGGCUGCAACCUAUUAUGUUGCAGACUUUUCAGACGAGGAGUAAGGUUCGUUAGGUCAUUGCCGUGCAGCUCAGCUAUGCCGUUGGAGUUGAUGGACUCACUUUAUCUUCCAAGCCUUCCGCUGUUAUCGUAUUAGAUGGCCUUAAGCCAUAUUUAUUGUAAUAAGUUCUCUUUUGAGACAUUCGCUGUAAUAAGUGUGUGAUUGCUACUCUGUUAUAAAUCCUUCAAGUACUGUGUGUGUCAGCAUUACCGAUCCAGGGAUGACACUGAAGCACAGAGACUUGACCGUUUGAGGUCGGGUCGCUACAAGAUGGUAUCAGAGCACACGCUGAGUGUAGGACACGACCACUAAGCUAAAGCCCUAGAUCACCACUCUCUUCUCAUUUCUGACUCCUCUCCAUUUUCUACUAUUUAGGAUGGCGGACGCAAGGAACAAGUUUGCACAACCGGAUGAAGAAGCACCUUUUGGGCGACACUUGAAGGAAGUCACUAAGUACCUGAACAUUGGAAUACCAAGCUUCACCGGGACAUACAACACCACUUUACCAGAAGAGGAGCGAUGUAUGAUUCAAGUUCAAGUCCCAGGAAGGAUAUUCGCUCCAGUCACCAAACCCAUAGAGUUUUCCUUUGAUGCACCAACCUGGAGUCUAGAAAAGAGUAUGGCAGCUCACAUCACCAUGGGACGCAUUGGAGAAGUUUACCAUAAGAAGCUUAAGGAUACUAUCUACCAGACUUGUGGGUGCCGAGAUGAGCAAUGGGAGAUGAUCAGCACCAGGAAGGAUAGAUCAAUCACAUCUUUCAUCCAGGAGUUAAACCAGCACAUUCGUCGCCAGGAGAACCAGAUGUGCGCAGGCAUGAUAGAUCUCAAGAAGGCAAUGACAAGGAUCACGGAACUGGAGGAAGAACUCAAGGCUACUCGCGAAGAUUAUGAGGAGGAAAUCGUCGUACUAGUGGAGAAGAAUGACGGUCGGGAAAGGAAGCUAGGAGUAUUCAUGGGAGACCCUGCGCCAGGAGGAGAAGAUGAUGAACCGAAGGAGAUUCGUUCUGAGGACUACAUCAUCAUCGACGACACCGACUCGGACCCCGAUGAUAGCGAUGAUGACUAUAAAGACAAAGCUGGAGCACACAUCAUGGAGUCUUCGACCGAUCAAUAUUUCUAUUAGACCACCACAUCAGUGGUAGUAUUCCACCACGUAUAUAGUAUAGUCCGAGCACUUUUGUAACGAUAGUUAGAUCGAUUGUAUGCCUUGCUUUAUUGAUUGAGUGAUAUGAUUGUGGUUGUCUCAUGUGCAUAUGGGUAGUGUUUUUCUCACUAGACCUCAUUCUAUUCUAUUCUCUUCCCUCUAAACCCUCAGAUGCCUCCGAGACGUGACCCCGGAUUUACUUACCCACCGGAGCUCACUCAGUUGAUCCAGCAGCAGAAUACACUGAUGUAGUUGUUAGUUCAGAACCAAGGCAACAACAACAACAACAACAACCCACCACCACCACUAGUUGACAACUUAGCCCGCUUUCUGAGGUUGCAGCCGCCGGUGUUUUCCAGCAGCACCGAGCCGAUAGUGGCAGAUGAUUGGCUCCGUAGGAUUGGAAGGGAGUUAACCACUGCAGGAUGUAUAGAUGUUGAGAAGGUGCGUUUUGCCGCACAUCAGUUGGAUGGACUAGCAACCUCAUGGUGGGAGAAUUACAUAGUCACCUAUCCUAUAGCCAUUGUUACAUGGGAUCAGUUUCAGCAAGCAUUCUGCAUCGCCCAUGUCUCAACGGGAGCUAUGAGCAUGAAGAAGCGUGAGUUUCGCAACUUGCGCCAAGGGAACCGUACUGUGGGGCAGUACAUGGAUGAAUUUAGUAAGUUGUCUCGUUAUGCCCCUAACGAUGUGGCCACUGAUGCCGCGAAGCAGGAGAAGUUUAUGGAAGGGCUGAACGAUGAGAUGAGCAUGCAGUUGAUGGUGGCAACAUUUAGCAACUACCAGGAGUUGGUAGACAAGGCUCUUAUGAUUGAAGGGAAGCAGGAGCAAAUUGAGAGCCGCAAAAGGAAGUAUGGACAAGGAUGGUACAACUCAGGAGCUUAGCAGAAGCCUCAUCUAACCCCGAACUCAGGAGGACUUGAUCAUAACCAUGGAGGUCAUAACCCUAACGGAGGAAGUUCACAUAACCAUAAUAGUUCCAAGAAUGGGACUGGGAACGGAACCAGCAACAAUCAGACCCGCUCCAAUCCAGCCACACCCGCCAAGAGAGACCUAAGUCACAUUACUUGCUUCAAGUGCGGGAAGACUGGACACUAUGCCACGGAGUGCUCUGAAGCGAAGAAUGGAAACGGUAAUGGGAGCACUGGGAAGAAUCCUAAUCCAUUCAAGAAAGGACAAGUGAACCACGUUAACGUGGAGGAGGUUGAAGGGCAGCCAGACGUAGUUAUCGGUAAGUUUUUGGUUAAGUCUUUUACCGCCCUUGUUCUUUUUGAUACUGGUGCAUCGCAUUCAUACAUAUCAAGGGGAUUCGUGGAUAAGUUUAAACUACCAACCCAAACCCUUAGGACCCCUCUGUUAGUAAGUUUAUCUGGAGCAGAAUAUAUGGCCAUCCGAUGGUGCGACCAGAUACCCCUAACCAUUGGUAGCCAUGUUUUUCCGUCCGACCUAAUAAUUUUGGAGUCACAAGGAUUGGAUGUGAUAUUAGGCAUGGACUGGAUGUCAAAGUAUGGAGGAAGCAUUGACUGUGCUAGUAAAUCAAUUUGUCUCACCACCCCAGAGGGAAAAAGGAUCAAGUAUGUAUCUAGACAUGCGCCUAUGAGGAGCCAAGCAAAUACCCUCACGGGAGUUGUUCAUGAGGAAGUGCCUGUAGUGAAGGAUUACCCAGAUGUUUUUCUAGAGGAGUUACCAGGCAUGCCACUGGAUCAAGACAUCGAGUGUUUGAUAGAGUUGUUGCCAGGUACCGGGCCAAUAUCAAAGAGACCCUACCGGAUGCCCGCAAAUGAUCUGGAGGAGAUUAAGAAGCAGAUCAAGGAGUUAUUGGAGAAAGGUUACAUCCGACGGAGUUCAUCACCAUGGGGAGCCCCAACACUUUUGGUUGAGAAGAAGGAUAAGUCUCUAAGGAUGGUUGUGGAUUAUCGUGCAUUGAAUGAGGUGACGAUCAAGAACAAAUACCCACUGUCGAUGAUCAAUGAUUUGUUUGACCAGUUUCAAGGAGCUAAGGUGUUCUCGAAGAUCGAUCUGCGAUCAGGAUAUCACCAGCUGAAGAUCCGGGAAAAGGAUAUACCUAAAACCGCAUUUACCACAAGGUACGGGUUAUAUGAGUAUACGGUCAUGUCAUUUGGACUGACUAAUGCCCAUGCCUAUUUCAUGAGCAUGAUGAACAAGGUGUUCAUGGAAUAUUUGGAUAAGUUUGUUGUGGUGUUCAUUGAUGAUAUAAUGGUAUACUCGAAGAAUGAAGAGGAGCACAAAGAGCAUUUGCGUUUAGUUCUCGAGAAACUCAGGGAACAUCAGUUGUAUGCCAAGUUCAGCAAAUGUGAGUUUUGGUUGAAAGAAGUUGGAUUCCUUGGACAUGUUAUAUCAGGAGAAGGUAUAGCAGUAGACCCCACCAAGGUUUAGUCAGUCACUGAAUGGUUGGCACCCACUUCAGUUAGCGAGAUCUGCAGUUUUCUUGGACUUGCAGGAUACUGCUGGAGAUUUAUUGAGAAUUUUUCCAAGAUUACGAAGCCAAUGACAGAGCUAUUGAAGAAGGAUACCAAAUUUAAAUGGACGGAAGAAUGUGAAGAGAGUUUUCAGGAGUUAAAGAAACGUCUGACCACAGCCCCAGUACUGAUUCUGCCGGAUAUACGCAAGGAUUUCCAAGUGUAUUGCGACGCCUCUCGCUUAGGACUUGGAGGAGUACUGAUGCAGGACGGAAGAGUUGUUUCGUAUGCCUCGCGACAACUGACACCGCAUGAGUUAAAUUAUGCCACGCAUGACUUGGAGUUGGCUGUCGUAGUGCAUGCGUUGAAGACUUGGAGACAUUAUCUUAUUGGAAACCAUUGCGAUGUAUACACUGACCAUAAGAGUUUGAAGUACAUUCUCACACAGAAGGAGCUGAACCUUAGGAAGAGGAGAUGGUUGGAGCUUAUAAAGGAUUAUGACAUGAAGCUUCACUAUCAUCCAGGCAAGGCCAACGUCGUAGCAGACGCUUUGAGCCAGAAGAGUUAUGCCAACACACUCAUAAGCGCAGGAUUGCCAAAGGAGUUGGCAGAGGAUCUCAGGGAACUUCGAUUGGAGAUUGUCCCUAGAGGUUUUGUUGCAACAAUGGAAGUUCAGUCUACAUUGUUAGGAAAGAUUCGAGAAGCUUAGAAGGAUGACAAAGAGAUCACCGAGAUAAAAGAGAGAAUGAGCAAAGGAAAGGCCAAAGGUUUCCGUGAGGAUGAUCACGACACCUUGUGGUUUGAGGACCGUGUCUAUGUGCCCAAUAACAUAGAGAUCAGGAAGUUAAUACUUAACGAGGCUCAUGACUCACCAUACUCGAUACACACCGGAAACACCAAGAUGUAUGUGGAUUUAAAGGAGCGUUUCUAGUGGACUAGUAAGAAGAAGGAUAUUGCCGGGUAUGUAGCCGUAUGUGAUGUAUGCCAGAGAGUGAAGGCAGAACAUCAAAAGUCAGCCAGAUUGUUACAACCUAUGCCGAUACCCGAAUGGAAGUGGGAUAAGCUUGGCAUGGAUUUCAUUACCGGAUUGCCCAGGACCAAAUCAGGAUAUGAUUCUAUAUGGGUAGUAGUUGAUCGCUUGACCAAAGUAGCUCACUUUAUCCCAGUGAAAACCACAUAUACAAGUGCCAAGUUGCCAAAGAUAUACAUGACCAGGAUCAUAUGUUUGCAUGGAGUUACGAGAACAAUUGUAUCAGAUAGAGGAACCUAGUUUACCUCAAAGUUUUCGAAUCAGUUGCAUGAAAAUUUGGGAACCAGACUGGAGUUCAGUAUAGCUUUUCACCCACAAACAGAUGGACAGACCGAGAGAGUUAACCAGAUUCUGGAGGAUAUGCUGAGAGCUUGUGCACUAGAUUAUGGAUCUAGUUGGGAUGACAACUUACCCUACGCAGAGUUCUCAUACAACAACAGUUACCAGGCCAGUUUGAAGAUGGCACCUUUCGAAGCUUUGUACGGAAGGAGGUGCAAGACACCGUUGUUGUGGGAUGAAGUUGGAGACCGUCAGUAAUUUGGACCAGAUUUGAUUAAGGAAUCAGAAGAUAAGGUUAAAUUGAUUAGAGAUAGACUGAAGGUAGCUCAAUCCCGACAGAAGAGUUAUGCAGAUUCAAAACGCAAGGAGGUAGUCUAUGAAAUCGAAGACAGAGUGUAUCUUCGGGUAUCACCACUCCGAGGAGUUAAGCGUUUCGGAGUUAAGGGAAAGUUAGCGCCACGCUUUGUGGGACCAUACAGAGUUUUUGGACGUAUGGGAGAAGUUGCUUAUAAGUUGGAAUUACUCGAAGGAUUGUCAGGAGUUCACGAUGUGUUCCAUGUUUCUCAGUUGAAGAAGUGCCACGCAAAGAUGGCCGACAUUCCUCUAAGAGAUACAGUACCGCUGGAAGCGAUUCAGUUGGACAAUGAUUUGACCUAUGAGGAGAAGCUAGCUAGGAUCCUUGAGUUUUCUAGCCGAGUUACCCGCAGCAAGGUUAUUAAGUUUUGCAAAGUUCAGUGGAGCCACCAUACCGAGGACAAAGCCACCUGGGAACGAGAGGAAGACCUACGUAAGGACCAUCCACACCUAUAUUCUAGCCAACCCGAAUCUCGAGGGCGAGAUUCAUCUUAAGGGGGGUAGGUUUGUAACAUCCCAAAUUUUCAAUUUGGAAUGUUAUACAUUAGAUCAUCAUUUCAUAUCAUAUUUUAUUGCAUUUUUGGCUUCAUCCUAGAAAUUCUACGCAACUCAAGGACCUACGAAGAGAGUUGGGGAUUUCAUUAUUUUCCUAUUCGAGUUUUCUCGAAUUUUGGAAAGAGGAUCGUUUGAUUUUAAUUAUUUUCUCUUUGAUUAUUUCUUUUAUAAAAAUAAAAGAGAGAGAGAGAGGAUAAAAUGACUUCCUCAAAAUAGAGAAAUGACGAAGAUUUAAUAUUAAAAUCAAAUAAGAAUUUUUUUUAUUUGGAGUUUUAUUGCUAUUUUAUUUGAAUUAGGAAAAAUAUGCGUUUUUCAAGAUUGCAUUUUAGGCCCAAAUAAAUAUUCACCUUGUCCGACUUAUUUUUAGAGGACGGAGAAAAUUUAUUUUGGAGUCGUCAACUGUUCGUGUCCUCGUGGCUCUAGUAAAGGCUGAAAGAAAGCAUGCAGCAGCCCUUAAGAAUGUAGCUGAGUUCCUAAAGAAGCAAAAAGAGCAAUCAGAUGCUCUCUUCACCCAAGCCAAAGAAGAGAUGGAAAAAGCCAGAAAGAAGCUAGCAGAGAUAGAGCAGGCUAGGCCUCUCCUGCUAUCUAAAACUAUUGUCAAUACAAAUUUUCCUUCAUAAUAGCUAGGUUCAAAUGUUCCAGUCAGCAUGCUUGUUGUGAUGUCCGUGCAUCUACUGAUGUGGCACAAAAUAAUUUUUUAGGGUCAUGUAAUAACAACAAUUACUUUCCAAACAAUAACAGACGAAGCAUUGGACAUGGUAUAGUUCACGCUCAAGCCCAACAUUCCAAGUUCAACUUCCACAUCAAACUCAUGUUCACAGAUAUCUGCACAUUCAUAGAUAAUGUCCACAACCAUGAUUCACUUCAAAGCCAAAAAAAUGUGAGCAGAGUUAUAAAUAAAGAAAAACCUCUAGUUCCUGCUACCAGUGCGAGCACAACAAGUAAAGACCAUGCGUAAUUAAUUAUAUUUUGAUCAUUUUUUGUGUUCUAAAAUCCUAGCCGGCUCGCGGAAGGACGUGUUGCGGGCACACGCGCGGAUUCAAUGGAGGCAAGCGGGACAGUCUGAAGCCGGUUGCGUGCGGCGAGGAGGCAUGCUCAGCCGGGCCUGUAGCUAGUGGGGCCCCUUGGCCGGCACGCCGGUUCAAUGCCUGCGCUAUUAGAGGUUGCAUCCAUGUCAGAGCAAUCACUCCCUCCAGUCCUUUUCUGUUUGGGUAUAACAAAAUCUUGUUAUCCAUUCACACUUUACAAGUAAAAUUCAUGGACUAACUUUGACCCAAAAUACGAUGGGGACUAGUAAACCAGGACAGAGGUAGCAGUUCUUUUUUUUAUCAAAGAAGGGUUUCCCCCUUCCGAUUUUCAUUACUAAAAAUGAACAUCUAAACCAUAGUAUUUGCCCUAGAACUACCAGGUUCAACAUCUCAAAAUAUAAACCCAUACAACCAUACGUGGAGGAGGUAGUAGUUAUGAAUUCCAUUUUCGCUCCAUAGCAAUCGUUCUAAAAACUACUUAAGUACUUAUAACGCGCCCUUGAAAAUCGGAACUCUUACCCCACUAAAAAAUGAUAUUUUAAACAUGGCUACUCGAUCUGUGGAAACUAGCAAGCCACCGCCUCCAGGUCGUUCACCUGUGGUCCCGACCAUCAACUCCUACGGAUCAAAUUAUCACGCGAGCUGACUAUUCCUACAAAGGCGCGCUCCACCACGUACCCGGUACUCGUGCAUGCAACAAUCAUGCACCUAUGGUUUUAGGGUUUAUUUGUUAACCGCGCCUUUACGUAAAUCUCAUGUGUGCGAGAGAGCGAGAGACCAACUGCGUGCGUGCGCCUCUUCUCUUCGUAUAUGUACUCCACCGUUUGUCUGGUGUCUAGAAAAUUAUACAAUAGUAAUAACUACUAGCAAUGUGCCAAUGCGUUGCCACAUGAUCAAAGUAGAUUAACACAUAUUCACCGAUUUGGUAGAAAAAAGAGUCUAGUUUUGAAAUACGUGUAUCACUAAGAAUAUCUUAUGUUUCACUCAAAAUAUAUUCCUUUGGCGGAUUUGAUGAGAUAAGGGAGGAAUGUUGUUGGUUUCAAGAUUCGAGAAGUGGUAUAUCUCUAAUUUCUAUUCUUACUAGCAAGAUGCCCAUGCGUUGCACGGAACAUCAAGAUCUUGUGGGAGAAAAGGAUGAACGAGGGAAGGCCUUGUCUGCAAAUGUGGAGAGGAGUGCGGGUAAAUUGCCAUAGUUUCCUUACUAUUCGUUAGAUAUAGAUUGGACGACCUAUAUUGAAGGAUGGCAGGCACAACAUUAUUACCGACUAUGCUUUUUAUAAGAGUAGAGAUAAAAAAACAGAGUUGGUGAUGAUGGUGUGCCUGCCAUCCUGCAAUAUAGGCCGUCUGAUUUAUAUCUGACGGAUAGGAGGAAGCUAUGGCAAUUUUCAAAAAGAUACCCACACCCCUCUCCACAUUUGCAAAUAAGGCCUCCCCUCACUACAAGAAAUAUGCCAACUAGUGACCUUCUGUCAGUGACCCUGGAAGAAUUAGUCAUAGAUCUACGACCAUUUGAGACCAAUUGGUCAAAAGCUGCUCGGGGGGCUCCAAACCCUCAACUAUAUCGACCAUUUUGGCCAUAAAGGUCGUAAUUUCCUUACACGAAAUGGUCAUAAAGCAGACAUCACUGGUCCAUUGCCUUAUUUCUAGCUGAUCAUAACCAAUAUAGAUGGUCAUAACCUUGUAAGUUGUGGUGGAUUGCUAUGACUAGGCGCCACCUCAUCAGUUUUGCCUAUGUGUCAUGUACAUGUGUCAAUUUUUGCCCUAGGUUGUGAAGCAACCUAUAUUUCUAUCAUUCCCAAAAUUCCCAAAAAUAUCUCAUAAAUUCUUUGGAUCAUAUCUUCAUCAAAUAUGUAAAAAUACUUCCUUGCCUAGUUCAAAAAUAAUUCAACAAUAUUCAUUUUCCUAUUCUGUUCAAAACAUCACUUUGUGAAGGAAGUACUAUUUAUAUAUUCUUGAUUGCCCUCAAAAUGUUUGGGCACUCUUUCCUAUCCAAAUCAUUGCCGCAUGACAAAAUUCAACUCCAUUUGCCUAGUAAAUCUUCCUCAUCAAAUUUCCAAAGUUUUUGUCCACCUAAAAGCAUUGUGAAGGAAGUACAAGAUAUGAAUAUCGUAAUGAGUUUAAUUUUUGCCACAUAUUCUAUAUGUCAAAGUCAUAGCUCUACACAAAAGCUUAGCUCUAUCUAACAAUACAUGUGAGCUCACCAACGAAUCUUUAUUCCUGGUAAUAUUUUUAGUUUGUGAAGCAACUACAUUUUAUAUUGCUUUAUAAUUGCUGGAAAUUUGCCAGGACAUUACCAUGACUAUAGAAACCCCCUACACCAAAUUUCAGCAUAAUCCAAUCAUCUAUGCCCAACUUAAAUUUAUAUUUUCUGUCCAAAUUGGCACAUUGCAAAGGAAGUGCUAUCUAGACACCUCCUAUUGUCCUGAAACUUUUUGUGCCAAUCUUACAUAUAAAAAUCAUUGCCACAUUCCAAUAUUCAGCUCCAUUUUCCUAUUAAAUCUUCCUCAGUAAAUUUCUAAAGUUUCUAUCUAGAGAGAAGCUUUGUGGAGGAAGUACAAGCUAGGAUUAUCCAAAUGGUAUAAUUUUUUUACAGUGCUUUAAUAUGCCCAAAUUACCAUACUCCACAAAAUUUCAGCUCAAUCCACUUAUCCAUUUGAGCCCAGAUUCGACACCAUAUUUCUGCCCGAUGUGGUACUUUGCAAAGCAAGUGCCAUCCAAACUCCUCCAUUUGAGAUGAAAAUUUGCCAAGGCAGUCUCCCUAGUAGAUGAUCAUCCUCAGCCGAAACUCAGGCCCAUUGGCCUUGUUAAUUUCUCGUACCUCUUAUCAAACACUUGGCUGCUAAUUCAUGUUUGAGCAUAGUUCGGUCUCCUCGUGAGAUUCUUCUGUUGUUAUUUUCUUCCUAGCAUCUACCUAGGGAGUGCCAAACCUACUAGACAUGCCUAGGCUGCCCAGAACGCAUGGCAAUGCCACGGUCACGCGGUGACCACGCGGCGGGCAUGCGAGUCUACGCGCUUUGAAGUUGGGGCCCUGGGCCACCGUCCAAACCUCGACGUAUCACCACGAAACCAUUUAUUUAUGAUUAAAUAGAUACUUAUGUAACUAUAAAUGAUUUUUGGAAAAAAAUAAAGAGCAAACUAUAAGGCAGCUUCAGUUCAAAUUUGACACGUUUCCUACUGAAUGGCGAAAAUUUGUCUUUUUCAUGAGAGGUGGAUAAAAACUUUUGACACCAAACCAUUUUGUCAAUUAUGCAUUAAAUAUGGCCUAGUAUUUUAUAAAAUUGAUUUGGUCCAAUUUUGCAACAAAUAUAUGGUAGGUCCUUCACACAAAAAAACUCAUUUUGGACACUCAAAAAUGGAAAAUUGAUUUUUCGUCCAAAUAAAAUGAAAACUCCCUUAGGAAACAUUGUUUGACAUUCCAAUAUGCACCCUUGUGCACAAUUUGAGAUCAUUUGAACAAACUAUGCCAUGAAUGUGGACAUAAGGUUGAUCAUUUGGCUUGAAAGCCAUGAAUCUUCACACAUGAUAGCUCAUUUAUGAGAACACUUUUUUAAAAUAAUUACCAUAUUACAAGUUUAUUAUUUUUCCUGGUAACUUGGUCACAUAUAAUGACACAAUGCGAAGGUUUUCCAAUUUUUAUUUUUUUUUAUUUUUAUGCCUGUUUCAAAAUGCGGUCAAAAUGGCGAGAAUGACCGUUUCUAGCUAGUACUUUAAUCUUGGGAUUUUUGUUGUUGUUUCUCUAAUUAAAUAGAUACUUAUGUACCUAGAAAGGAUUUUUUUUAAAAAAAUAGCAAACUAUGAGGCAGCUAUAGUUUAAAUUUGACCCGCUUCCUACUGAAUCAACGAAAAUUUGUCUUUUUCACGAGCGGUGGAUCAAAUCUUUUGACACCCAACCAUUUAGUCAAUUGUGCAUUAAAUAGGGCCUAGUAUUUUAGAAAAUUGAUUUGGUAUAAUUUUGCAACAAAUAUAUGGUAGGUCCUUCACAAAAGAAACUCAUUUAGGCACUCAAAAAAUGGAAAAUGAAUUUUUCGUCCAAAGAAAAUGAAAACUUCCUUAGGAAACAUUGUUUGCCAUUCCAAUAUUCACACUUUUGCACGAUAUGAGAUCAUUUGAACAAACUAUGUCAUGAACAUGGGCAUACGAUUGAUCAUUUGGCUUGAAAGCCAUGAAUCUUCACACAUGAUAGCUCAUUUCUGAGAACACUUUAUUAAAAUAACUAGCAAAAGGGCCCGUGCGUUGCAACGGAGGUAAAAAAAUCGUAAAGCAUCAACUUAAAGGUAUUUCUAUUAUGACCAUGUGCAUAAAGCUUAUCUUUUUAUCAUUUCACCACUAACAUCGUCGCGUUCUACUAAACAUGCCUAUUUUACUUACUAAGACUCCAUUAUCACUGUUGAAAAUUUAGGAAAUUCACAUAGUUAGUAAAAAGUGCAAUACAUAAAAAAACAUACAUAACUUUGUAUGACGGCCCGUCAGUGCACUGCUUCUCAAUGACGGCAACUGCGGCUUGGCUUCUUGCGGUUUUCGGAACAAUGUGUAUAAGGACCGAUUCAACCAGGCAUUUCCCUUUGAAGUUUUCUUAUCCCUAAUACUUUACUUUUUUCAAGUGCAAUAUGUUUGGGCAUCUUAGGCUUCUGUUGUGUCAUUACUACAUCUACUAAACUAUAAUGUUUGUUUCAUGUUAUCUUUGCUGGUCAUGUCAUCAUGCUUUGAUUUGAAUUGAGGUUUUUUUAGAGAUCCCUCACUUGAAUUUUAUUAAAUUAGCCAACCAAAUGAAAUUCAAAUAAGUAAAUUUUAUGGAUCUUCGAUCUAUCUAAAUUGAGGGAAUUCACAUGGUGGUUCUCUUUAUAACUCAUGAACAUUGCCCCCGAAAAAUAUUAGGGAGCUGAAAAUAGCAAUCCCAUUCAUUUCGAGGUAAGCAUAACCCACUUUCAAUUUAAACCUCUUAAUUAAAUAUUUGGAUUUAUAUUUAUAGCAAUGUAAUAUAAGUUCCACGUGGGAUAAUUUAUGUGGAGUUGGCACAACCCCAAAAAGGCUAAAAUAAAAUAGUUUCAAGUUCUUCAAACCCAAAUGAUUUUCAAAUUCUUUUCUUUGGCAAGAUUUUAUAAUUCUUAAACACCGCUCUCUCUUCCCAGUGUUUCUUUUCACGCCACCAUGGCCGAGCUGCGCGCGCCUCCCGCCAUGGACGCCGUCGCGCAGCUGCGGGCCCCCUCGCGCUCUUGCACCUCCCGGCAGCCGCUUGUUCUCCUCUUAUCGCCCGCGCCCCUCGCCUCUCAACAACCUUUACUCACUCCUCCUCUUUGCCUCGCCAAGGAUGUUCAAUGGUACUGCAUCGUCUUCUCCCGUUGGCUCUCGGGGCUGCUUGUUGAUUCCCAGGUGCUUUUAUUGAUAUUUCAGCUAACUUGGAAACGUAUAUCAACUGAGACGACUCAACAUAAUAGAACUGAGGUGGGAUUAUUCAACACCCAAGCAAACUUUAAUUAAAAACAUGCAUGAAUCGAUUGGAAUUAACCUUGCUUCGUUCGGCUCGAGGGCCAGGGUAAUUGGGCCUAUCUCCGUAUUCUCACUCCACCAGGCUACGUUUGGCUGGUUGGGCAAGAAUAUUUGGCAAGCUUUCGAAGGAAGAUUACUAAGAAGCUAACCCAGUUUUUAAUGGCAACUUGGGGGCGAGCCCAACUGGUUGUGGCUGUAGCGUGAGAACGGGAGGUCGAAACUUCGAACCUCACGGCUAGGAUUGUUUUUCGCAGGUAAUAGAAGAUGGCGGGCUAAUUAACUAAAAACAGAGGGGUUUGGACAUGCAAUUAGUACCACCUCGUUUAUAUUAUGAUUUUGUCUAUACGAAUGGUGAAAGCGUAUUACGACCAGGCGGAAACGUAUUAUGACGGUGAACCCGACAAAGUUAAUCCGUGCUUUAUUAUUAGGGAAAUAUUAGGGAAAGAUUACAACUACCAGUACAAAUGCCCGUGCGUUGCACCGGGCGAAAAAAAGACACAACCAGCUCCAUAUUUCAUUGUGCACUAUUUCAUAUAUAUCCAAUUUUAAUAAACAUCGAUAAUAAGGUAAUAUUGAUUAUUACUUUUUGUAGAAUCAAGUUUGGACCUGAAGAAGCCAACUUAGCGUUCUUCGUCAGUUGCAAGAGAAGUUUUGCAUGGAAUAUUUUGUCAAUCGUUCUUUUUUGCUUUUCUGGAAAACAUGAAAAUUUCCUUAUUUUUUAUAGAAGUUAAGAUUUACAUAAAAAUUGGAACACUUCUUCAAGAAUCUUAAACGUUUAUGAAAAUUAGAACAUCUCUAAAAAAACACAUUUUUAAUAGAUAUUUUUUCUUUAAAGAAUGUUUUAAUUUUUUGUACAUUUCUAAAUGAAUUUUUAAGGAUUUUUUAUGAUUUUAAAAAAGUGCAAACAUAUUUUUUUGAAACGAAAAUAAUGUGAACAUGUGUAAAACUGUGAACAUUUUUAAACUAAUUUCUUCAGUAUACAAAUUAAACCGACCACAUGCUAGGUCGGGUUCUGUGCUCUACAUAUAGUUAUAAAUCGAAAGAAUUGAUCUUAAGAUUACUAAGAAAAACCAAAUAUAAGAGUAAGAAGAAGACCCAAAUGAGUAAUUGGAAUGUAUCAAGUCCUAAAGAAUCAUCUUAGGUGUUUUACAGUUAGUGGGCGGACACAAGACCACCAGUACAACACUACCCAUUUUCCGAUAAAUUGUUUUGUCCAAGCACCAUCAACUGCUCAUUAUGGAGAGUCGAAGAGCAUUGAGCAACCAUUGAAACAAAGCGGCUACAAGCUAACUCUUUCGGCUGAUCUCCAGCAACAGAGGCGGCAAGGUGGCGUCAGAGAGGGUCGGGUCAAGCCUGACGAACGUGUCCUUCAGGAAUUUGCGUCAUUGCCAGACUUUAAAGCUGGAAUUUGUAUUUCAGGGAGACUGUGUUGAGGGGCAAUGGACCUUAGCUUCUGGCAUAUAAGAAGAUCCUAUAAGACAAAUUGUACUUCAUGAAUUGGAGUA